AACAGCAUCUAUUCCUUCUUUUUUGGCCCAUGCCCACUCGAGUAUUGAGCAUGUUCACAUUCCCAUCCCCACUCAAAACGCAUUGGUCAGGACCACCGUAAUACAAGAAGUGACCCCUAGGACCACCCAAAUCAUGGCUUGCAUUGGCAUUGUAACGCCCAGGAUCAUCCACAACCCCAACGAAGGACUCGUCAAGUGGGGAAAUGACCACCUCCCCACCUGGCUUGAGUCGCGCCCAAAUCGGCCAUCACCAUGAAUAGCUCCUUUGGCCAGUCCCCGACGCGCGCUGCUCUCGCCGAAGAACGGGCAACAGUUCCUCGAUUUGUUGUCCUGCAGGUCAGGAGACGGAAAAGGCAGGUCGAAAACACGCGAACUGGGGGCAAAGACUAGCUAAUAGUACCGUGGGGGAAAUGCUUAUACUGGCACUUUAUGUAGCUCGAGCCUUAGUCAUGUUAUAGUCGAUGUUUACUUGUGACAGUACAUGAAGGUCUUGAUGUCGGAGCACCGACGAGGCUCUUUUUUU